AGCAAAACCUCACUGAACAGCCAUGUAAAAAGCAAGACAAUGCUGCAUGCUGCAAUUUCCCUGGGUCUCCCUGCUCCCAGUUCCCUAAAUUUGAUGAGUUUAAAGCCACAAAACAGGACAGCUCAGACCAUGAGAGAAUAGAAUGGUGGAAGGUUCUUCUCUCUAUUCCUGCAAAAAGAAACCCAUGGGGAGAUCCAGCAGGACUCUUCGUGUCAUGAGGACUAAAACUCAUUCCUGAGGAAGAAUGGAGGAGCUGCCUCUCAGAAGCAAGGCUUUAAAUCAGUGGUUUCCAAAAAUUAUUCUAGAACUCAGAAACAGGAUGAAGUUUUCAUCACGGAAUAAGAGAAAAUAAGGUCAAUAUGCUCUCCAACUGCUUCUACUGUCUGCUUGUCUCUUCUGACCGUCCUAUCAGGGCAACUGUUCUGAAUUCCUGGGAGAAUGGUGGUGUCCUGGAGGGCAGUGCUUUGGGCCUCGGCCUUCAGCUUGUCUUUGGGAUUUUGGUCAUCAGAACUCAUCCUCAAUUUAAUGACCUUCAAUGGAUGGGAGGCCAGAGUCAGGACGUGGGUGCAAAACCAUUUCCGCCAAAUUUUAUAAGAUGGGAGAUUCUCCAUUGGACCACUUUUGGGACAUCAAGACAGCUAAACUUAAAGAUGGAGGACAUGAUCUUAAAGACAAGAAGCUUGUAG
rnacentral:lncRNA from 1 species